rnacentral:rRNA from 1 species
GCUUGCCAUAAAUUUAAAUUACGCCACAAACACCAGGGAACUACGAGCCACGCUUAAAACCCAAUGGACUUGACGGUGCCCCAUCCAACUAGAGGAGCCUGUUCUAUAAUUGAUAACCCCCACUACACCUCACCCCUGUUCGCCUUUCAGCCUGUAUACCUCCGUCGCAAGUUUACUAUAUGAAUACUCAAAAGUAAACCUAUUGGGGACCCCCCCCCACACGUCAGGUCAAGGUGCAGCCAACGCAGGGGUAAGCAAUGGGCUACAAUUUCUAGUUUAGAAUAAACGAAGACUCACAUGAAAAUGUGAUUUGAAGGAGGAUUUAGAAGUAAGAGCGGAACAAAGAGCCCCUCUUAAACAGGACCUGGGUCGCGUACAAACCGCCCGUCACCCUCUUCAACUACCACCCAUUUAUUAAUCUAUAACAGUUUCUUUCCCCAGAAGAGGUAAGUCGUAACAUGGUAAGUGUACUGGAAAGUGCACUUGGAUAAA